UACGGGGGGGGCAAGCGUUGUUCGGAAUUACUGGGCGUAAAGGGUUCGUAGGUGGCCAACUAAGUCAGACGUGAAAUCCCUCAGCUUAACUGGGGAACUGCGUCUGAUACUGGUUGGCUUGAGUGCAGGAGGGGAACGCGGAAUUCCAGGUGUAGCGGUGAAAUGCGUAGAUAUCCGGAGGAACCCCAGAGGCGAAGGCGGCGCCCUGGCUCGCAACUGACGCUCAGACACGACAGCAUGGGGAGCGAACGGG
rnacentral:rRNA from 1 species